rnacentral:rRNA from 1 species
GACGAACGCUGGCGGCGUGCUUAACACAUGCAAGUCGAACGGAAAGGCCCUGCUUUUGUGGGGUGCUCGAGUGGCGAACGGGUGAGUAACACGUGAGUAACCUGCCCUUGACUUUGGGAUAACUUCAGGAAACUGGGGCUAAUACCGGAUAGGAGCUCCUGCUGCAUGGUGGGGGUUGGAAAGUUUCGGCGGUUGGGGAUGGACUCGCGGCUUAUCAGCUUGUUGGUGGGGUAGUGGCUUACCAAGGCUUUGACGGGUAGCCCGCCUGAGAGGGUGACCGGCCACAUUGGGACUGAGAUACGGCCCAGACUCCUACGGGAGGCAGCAGUGGGGAAUAUUGCACAAUGGGCGGAAGCCUGAUGCAGCAACGCCGCGUGCGGGAUGACGGCCUUCGGGUUGUAAACCGCUUUCGCCUGUGACGAAGCGUGAGUGACGGUAAUGGGUAAAGAAGCACCGGCUAACUACGUG